UACGUAGGGGGCAAGCGUUGUCCGGAUUUAUUGGGCGGAAAGAGCGUGUAGGCGGUUAGGUAGGUCCGUUGUGAAAACUCGAGGCUCAACCUCGAGACGCCGAUGGAAACCAUCUGACUAGAGUCCGGAAGAGGAGAGUGGAAUUCCUGGUGUAGCGGUGAAAUGCGCAGAUAUCAGGAAGAACACCCGUGGCUGAGGCGGCUCUCUAGUACGUGACUGACGCUGAGACGCGAAAGCGUGGGGAGCGAACAGG
rnacentral:rRNA from 1 species